CCUAAUUAUAUUAAAACUACUCCCACCCCCACGGUACCCCUACCUAGUCGCCGACACUCCACCCCACCACACCCCUACCCCUCCCUGCCGCUGACGCCCCAUCUCCACCACUUCCUGUCCUCCGUCGCCGCCGUUGCUGUCCACCGUCACUGCCUGUUGCGGGAGCAUCAAGAGCUACUGGGGGAGAAUACCCUGAGAGAGUCGGUCAAUCUGUUUGCCAGGUUGGAGGAGGUGGAAUUGUAAGGGAUCCCUUGGUCCAUCAAGAGACGCUCGAGAGGGGUCAGGAAAUACCUCAAGAUGAAGUCUUCAAGAUUGCUCACACGAGGAAGGCGAAGAACGCUGAUGUCUCUAACACCCAACGUUGACUUUUUUGAUUCGUAUACUUUUGGAUUGUAAUAUUGCUAUGUUUUCUUGGAUAUGUAUAUUUUUUUUCAUGAUAGUUUUAAUUCGAAUUAGAUGUACUUUUGAAGGUGAAUUUGAUUGUAGGAAGUAGUUUAUGGAUGUUUUAACUUUACGAUGUUUAAGUGUUUGAAUGUAGAAAGUAGUUUAUGGUUGUUUAACUUUACGAUGUUCAAGUGUUUGAAU